rnacentral:rRNA from 1 species
CGCCCAAUAGCUAGCUCAACCCAUCAAACACAACAACUAACUAUUUCUACCCCCUAAUAAACUAAAGACUUAUAAACAAAUCAUUUUACCACCUAAGUAUGGGCGACAGAAAAGGACCACUCGGAGCAAUAGCAACAGUACCGCAAGGGAACGCUGAAAGAGAGAUGAAAUAGAUCAGUAAAGCAUUGAAAAGCAGAGUUUAACCCUCGUACCUUUUGCAUCAUGAUUUAGCAAGAAGACAUCAAGCAAAGAGGACUUUAGUUUGAUACCCCGAAACCAAGUGAGCUACUCCAAGACAGCCUUAUAGGGCGAACCCGUCUCUGUGGCAAAAGAGUGGGGAGAGCUUUGAGUAGAGGUGACAGACCUACCGAACUUGGUUAUAGCUGGUUGUCCAGGAAUUGAACAGGAGUUCAGCCUUUUGCCCUCUUUCCUCACUGCUGGUUACACUUUUAAGCCCCCAAGAGGACAAAAGAGUUAGUCAAAGGGGGUACAGCCCCUUUGAAAAAGAUACAACUUUCCCAGAAGGGUUAAGAUCAUAACAUUAAUUAAGGGGUAGUGUUGUAGUUGGCCUAAAGGCAGCCACCCACACAGAAAGCGUUAAAGCUCAUACACCUCCCUUCCCCAAUUAUCCGGACCACUACAUCUUACCCCCCUACAUAUACUGGACCUAUUCCAUACACAUAUGGAAGAGAUUAUGCUAAUAUGAGUAAUAAGAGACCAAGACUCUCUCCUCGCACAAGUGUACAUCGGAACGAACCCACACCGAAAAUUAACGUCCCCAAAGAAGAGGGAAUUGGAACAUAAUGGCCCGGCCACAAGAAAAACAUCCACCCCAAACCGUUAACCUCACACCAGAGUGCAUACAAGGAAAGACUAAAAGAAAAAGAAGGAACUCGGCA